UUCUCGACUUAAAUCCCUGACGAAAGUUGUUCUACGCGUUGGACUCAUCAUCGUGGUAUAAUUUGUUUUAUCGAUUGCGUAGCAUAUCACAUUUUAGAGUUGGGACAACAGGGGUUUGAAUAUAUUUGAAGGUUUUGAGGUGAAUUACGAACCUAAGAUCGAGGUAAGACCCUCCUUUCAUCGACUCUAGCUUUUAUAAGC
rnacentral:lncRNA from 1 species